rnacentral:rRNA from 1 species
UACGUCGGGUGCAAGCGUUGUCCGGAAUUAUUGGGCGUAAAGAGCUUGUAGGCGGUUUGUCGCGUCUGCUGUGAAAUUUCGGGGCUCAACCCCGAACUUGCAGUGGGUACGGGCAGACUAGAGUGUGGUAGGGGAGACUGGAAUUCCUGGUGUAGCGGUGAAAUGCGCAGAUAUCAGGAGGAACACCGAUGGCGAAGGCAGGUCUCUGGGCCAUAACUGACGCUGAGAAGCGAAAGCAUGGGGAGCGAACAGG